rnacentral:rRNA from 1 species
AGCGUACACGGUGGAUGCCCUGGCAGUCAGAGGCGAUGAAGGACGUGCUAAUCUGCGAUAAGCGUCGGUAAGGUGAUAUGAACCGUUAUAACCGGCGAUUUCCGAAUGGGGAAACCCAGUGUGAUUCGUCACACUAUCAUUAACUGAAUCCAUAGGUUAAUGAGGCGAACCGGGGGAACUGAAACAUCUAAGUACCCCGAGGAAAAGAAAUCAACCGAGAUUCCCCCAGUAGCGGCGAGCGAACGGGGAGCAGCCCAGAGCCUGAAUCAGUGUGUGUGUUAGUGGAAGCGUCUGGAAAGGCGCGCGAUACAGGGUGACAGCCCCGUACACAAAAAUGCACAUACUGUGAGCUCGAUGAGUAGGGCGGGACACGUGGUAUCCUGUCUGAAUAUGGGGGGACCAUCCUCCAAGGCUAAAUACUCCUGACUGACCGAUAGUGAACCAGUACCGUGAGGGAAAGGCGAAAAGAACCCCGGCGAGGGGAGUGAAAAAGAACCUGAAACCGUGUACGUACAAGCAGUGGGAGCACAGAGCAAUCUGUGUGACUGCGUACCUUUUGUAUAAUGGGUCAGCGACUUAUAUUCUGUAGCAAGGUUAACCGAAUAGGGGAGCCGAAGGGAAACCGAGUCUUAACUGGGCGUUAAGUUGCAGGGUAUAGACCCGAAACCCGGUGAUCUAGCCAUGGGCAGGUUGAAGGUUGGGUAACACUAACUGGAGGACCGAACCGACUAAUGUUGAAAAAUUAGCGGAUGACUUGUGGCUGGGGGUGAAAGGCCAAUCAAACCGGGAGAUAGCUGGUUCUCCCCGAAAGCUAUUUAGGUAGCGCCUCGUGAAUUCAUCUCCGGGGGUAGAGCACUGUUUCGGCAAGGGGGUCAUCCCGACUUACCAACCCGAUGCAAACUGCGAAUACCGGAGAAUGUUAUCACGGGAGACACACGGCGGGUGCUAACGUCCGUCGUGAAGAGGGAAACAACCCAGACCGCCAGCUAAGGUCCCAAAGUCAUGGUUAAGUGGGAAACGAUGUGGGAAGGCCCAGACAGCCAGGAUGUUGGCUUAGAAGCAGCCAUCAUUUAAAGAAAGCGUAAUAGCUCACUGGUCGAGUCGGCCUGCGCGGAAGAUGUAACGGGGCUAAACCAUGCACCGAAGCUGCGGCAGCGACGCUUAUGCGUUGUUGGGUAGGGGAGCGUUCUGUAAGCCUGCGAAGGUGUGCUGUGAGGCAUGCUGGAGGUAUCAGAAGUGCGAAUGCUGACAUAAGUAACGAUAAAGCGGGUGAAAAGCCCGCUCGCCGGAAGACCAAGGGUUCCUGUCCAACGUUAAUCGGGGCAGGGUGAGUCGACCCCUAAGGCGAGGCCGAAAGGCGUAGUCGAUGGGAAACAGGUUAAUAUUCCUGUACUUGGUGUUACUGCGAAGGGGGGACGGAGAAGGCUAUGUUGGCCGGGCGACGGUUGUCCCGGUUUAAGCGUGUAGGCUGGUUUUCCAGGCAAAUCCGGAAAAUCAAGGCUGAGGCGUGAUGACGAGGCACUACGGUGCUGAAGCAACAAAUGCCCUGCUUCCAGGAAAAGCCUCUAAGCAUCAGGUAACAUCAAAUCGUACCCCAAACCGACACAGGUGGUCAGGUAGAGAAUACCAAGGCGCUUGAGAGAACUCGGGUGAAGGAACUAGGCAAAAUGGUGCCGUAACUUCGGGAGAAGGCACGCUGAUAUGUAGGUGAAGUCCCUCGCGGAUGGAGCUGAAAUCAGUCGAAGAUACCAGCUGGCUGCAACUGUUUAUUAAAAACACAGCACUGUGCAAACACGAAAGUGGACGUAUACGGUGUGACGCCUGCCCGGUGCCGGAAGGUUAAUUGAUGGGGUUAGCGCAAGCGAAGCUCUUGAUCGAAGCCCCGGUAAACGGCGGCCGUAACUAUAACGGUCCUAAGGUAGCGAAAUUCCUUGUCGGGUAAGUUCCGACCUGCACGAAUGGCGUAAUGAUGGCCAGGCUGUCUCCACCCGAGACUCAGUGAAAUUGAACUCGCUGUGAAGAUGCAGUGUACCCGCGGCAAGACGGAAAGACCCCGUGAACCUUUACUAUAGCUUGACACUGAACAUUGAGCCUUGAUGUGUAGGAUAGGUGGGAGGCUUUGAAGUGUGGACGCCAGUCUGCAUGGAGCCGACCUUGAAAUACCACCCUUUAAUGUUUGAUGUUCUAACGUUGACCCGUGAUCCGGGUUGCGGACAGUGUCUGGUGGGUAGUUUGACUGGGGCGGUCUCCUCCUAAAGAGUAACGGAGGAGCACGAAGGUUGGCUAAUCCUGGUCGGACAUCAGGAGGUUAGUGCAAUGGCAUAAGCCAGCUUGACUGCGAGCGUGACGGCGCGAGCAGGUGCGAAAGCAGGUCAUAG